AUUGAACGCUGGCGGCAGGCCUAACACAUGCAAGUCGAGCGAGCGGCGGACGGGUGAGUAAUGCCUGGGAAUUUCCCAGUCGAGGGGGAUAACAGUUAGAAACGACUGCUAAUACCGCAUACUCUUGGAUUACCAAGGUUGGAUUAGAUAGUUGGUUAGGUAAGGGCUCACCCAGGCGACGAUCCCUAGCUGGUCGGAGAGGAUGGUCAGCCACACUGGAACUGAGAAACGGGCCAGACUCCUACGGGAGGCAGCAGUGGGGAAUAUUGCACAAUGGGGGAAACCCUGACGCAGCCAUGCGGCGUGUGUGAAGAAGGCCUUCGGGUGGUAAAGCACUUUCAGCGAGGAGGCGGUACUCGCAGAAGAAGCACCGGCUAACUCCGUGCCAGCAGCCGCGGUAAUAC
rnacentral:rRNA from 1 species